rnacentral:rRNA from 1 species
AACCUCGCCCAUAAAGACUGGAGAUAACUCCGGGAAACCGGGGCUAAUACCGGAUAACAUUUUGAACCGCAGUGGUUCGAAAUUGAAAGGCUGUGCUUGCGUGCUGUCACUUAUCGGAUGGACCCGCGUCGCAUUAGCUAGUUGGUGAGGUAACGGCUCACCAAGGCAACGAUGCGUAGCCGACCUGAGAGGGUCGAUCGGCCACACUGGGACUGAGACACGGCCCAGACUCCUACGGGAGGCAGCAGUAGGGAAUCUUCCGCAAUGGACGAAAGUCUGACGGAGCAACGCCGCGUGAGUGAUGAAGGCUUUCGGGUCGUAAAACUCUGUUGUUAGGGAAGAACAAGUGCUAGUUGAAUAAGCUGGCACCUUGACGGUACCUAACCAGAAAGCCACGGCUAACUACGUGCCACCAGCCGCGGUAAUACGUAGGUGGCAAGCGUUAUCCGGAAUUAUUGGGCGUAAAGCGCGCGCAGGUGGUUUCUUAAGUCUGAUGUGAAAGCCCACGGCUCAACCGUGGAGGGUCAUUGGAAACUGGGAGACUUGAGUGCAGAAGAGGAAAGUGAAUUCCAUGUGUAGCGUGAAAUGCGUAGAGAUAUGGAGGAACACCAGUGGCGAGGCGACUUUCUGGUCUGUAACUGACACUGAGCGCGAAAGCGUGGGGGAGCAAACAGGAUUAGAUACCCUGGUAGUCCAACGCCGUAACGAUGAGUGCUAAGUUGUUAGAGGGUUUCCGCCC